CUACGGGGGGCAGCAGGCGAGAAAACUUUGCAAUGUGCGAAAGCACGACAAGGUUAAUCCGAGUGGUUUGUGCUAAACGAACCUUUUGACAGUCCUAGAAACACUGUUGAAUAAGGGGUGGGCAAGUUCUGGUGUCAGCCGCCGCGGUAAAACCAGCACCUCAAGGUGGUCAGGAUGAUUAUUGGGCCUAAAGCAUCCGUAGCCGGCUCUGUUAGUUUUCGGUUAAAUCUGUACGCUCAACGUACAGGCCGCCGGGAAUACUGCAGAGCUAGGGAGUGGGAGAGGUAGACGGUACUCGGUAGGAAGGGGUAAAAUCCUUUGAUCUAUUGAUGACCACCUGUGGCGAAGGCGGUCUACCAGAACACGUCCGACGGUGAGGGAUGAAAGCUGGGGGAGCAAACCGGAUUAGAUACCCUCGUAGUC
rnacentral:rRNA from 1 species